AGGAUAAACGCUGGCGGCGUGCAUGAGACAUGCAAGUCGAACGGACGAUCAGGGCUUGCUCUGAUCGUUAGUGGCGGACGGCUGAGUAACGCGUAGGUGACCUGCCCCGAAGUGGGGAAUAACUGCCCGAAAGGGUGGCUAAUACCGCAUGUGGUGGUGUGUUCAUUCACACCAGUAAAGCCGCAAGGCGCUUCGGGAGGGGCCUGCGUCCGAUUAGCUCGUUGGUGGGGUAACGGCUCACCAAGGCGACGAUCGGUAGGUGGUCUGAGAGGACGAUCACCCAGACUGGGACUGAGACACGGCCCAGACUCCUACGGGAGGCAGCAGUCGGGAAUUUUGCGCAAUGGACGAAAGUCUGACGCAGCAACGCCGCGUGAGGGAUGAAGGCCUUCGGGUUGUAAACCUCUUUAUCAGGGAAGAUAAUGACGGUACCUGAUGAAUAAGUCACGGCUAACUACGUGCCAGCAGCCGC
rnacentral:rRNA from 1 species